CCUACGGGUGGCAGCAGUGGGGAAUAUUGGACAAUGGGGGCAACCCUGAUCCAGCCAUGCCGCGUGUGUGAAGAAGGCCCUCGGGUUGUAAAGCACUUUCAGUGAGGAAGAACGCCUGGUGGUUAAUACCCAUCAGGAAAGACAUCACUCACAGAAGAAGAACCGGCUAACUCCGUGCCAGCAGCCGCGGUAAUACGGAGGGUGCGAGCGUUAAUCGGAAUUACUGGGCGUAAAGCGCGCGUAGGUGGCUUGAUAAGCCGGUUGUGAAAGCCCCGGGCUCAACCUGGGAACGGCAUCCGGAACUGUCAAGCUAGAGUGCAGGAGAGGAAGGUAGAAUUCCCGGUGUAGCGGUGAAAUGCGUAGAGAUCGGGAGGAAUACCAGUGGCGAAGGCGGCCUUCUGGACUGACACUGACACUGAGGUGCGAAAGCGUGGGUAGCAAACAGGAUUAGAUACCCGUGUAGUC
rnacentral:rRNA from 1 species